AAUCAGGUAGGACUACCCGCUGAACUUAAGCAUAUCAAUAAGCGGAGGAAAAGAAACUAACAAGGAUUCCCCCUAGUAACUGCGAGUGAAGCGGGAAGAGCUCAAAUUUAAAAUCUGGCAGCCUUUGGUUGUCCGAGUUGUAGUCUGGAGAAGCGUUUUCCGUGUUGGACCGUGUAUAAGUCUCUUGGAACAGGGCGUCAUAGAGGGUGAGAAUCCCGUCUUUGACACGGACUACCAAUGCUUUGUGAUGCGCUCUCAAAGAGUCGAGUUGUUUGGGAAUGCAGCUCAAAAUGGGUGGUAAAUUCCAUCUAAAGCUAAAUAUAGGCGAGAGACCGAUAGCGAACAAGUACCGUGAGGGAAAGAUGAAAAGCACUUUGGAAAGAGAGUUAAACAGUACGUGAAAUUGCUGAAAGGGAAACGCUUGAAGUCAGUCACGUCUGCCAGGACUCAGCCUUGCUUUUGCUUGGUGCACUUUCUGGUUGGAUGGGCCAACAUCAAUUUUGACCGUUGGAAAAAGGCUUUGGGAAUGUGGCACCUUCGGGUGUGUUAUAGCCCUUUGUCGUAUACGACGGUUGGGAUUGAGGACCGCAGCACGCCUUUAUGGCCGGGGUUUACCUACGUACGUGCUUAGGAUGUGGCAUAAUGGCU
rnacentral:rRNA from 1 species